GCCAGUGUGGUGUAGUGGUUUGAAUGUUGGGCUAUGACUCUGGAGAUUAGGGGUCGAUUCCCCACUCAAGCA